rnacentral:rRNA from 1 species
UUACAAGUGUCACACGGAACCUAGCCGGUCAUAAACCGGAGGAAGGUGGGGAUGACGUCAAGUCAGCAUGGCCUUUAUAUCCUGGGCUACACACACGCUACAAUGGGAAGGGACAAUAGGUUGCGAAGCCGCGAGGCGGAGCCAAUCCAGCAAAACUUCCCUCAGUUCAGAUUGCAGGCUGCAACCCGCCUGCAUGAAGUUGGAGUUGCUAGUAAACGCAGGUCAGCCAUACUGCGUUGAAUACGUUCCCGGGGCUU